GGGGGAUGGGACUGCAUGGGGUGGUCACCUGUUUUGCAAGUAGGAAGUCAGACGAGUUCGAUUCUCGUAUUCUCCA
rnacentral:tRNA from 1 species